UGCAUUUUCAUGUGUUUCAAGAACUACUUCGCCGCAGGUGCUCGCAGGGCGGUGCUUUGGCGAAAAGGUCGUGCAGACGGUCGCCUCACCGGCACACAAUUUAACAAGCGCGUUCGGACACCUUUUCACGAGAGGGCGAUGAUGAACGAAGUGAACGGUAAUACCACACGCCGAACCUACAACGUGUUUGAUUCUAAGGUUGUUCAGCAAGAGCUCCGCGGCGCUAGGCGAAGCACCAAUUAUUCUCAAUUGGCUUCACAAAACGUCCUGCGCCAGAUUAAAGCUGAUAAGCGACAGCAGCGAGUGUCCCACUCUUCUAGCCAUAAGUUUCUCCCUCUCUGAAAAAGUCCACUUGUCUUUUCGUUUUUUUCCUGAGGGAAUCCGUUGCUGCGUAGCUUCGCUUGCUCUACGAAGGUGAAAAGCUGCGGUGCUUUUUUGUCUGCUGCUACCAAUGCUCUACCGGAAUAAUACGCUAAGCGAAAAGAAAUCUCUUUUCUCGGCAUUGCUGGCAAAUACACCACCUGCAAUUGAUUCAAAGUGUCACGGACACAGGCGAUGGCCGGUCUUCGCAGGUUUGAUUUGAUCUUGUUGAAAUCUCUUCAGUCAGUACCGUUCUGCGCCAAUUUGCGCCUUUUCCCCCUCUAGAAUGGAUGUGCAUCGAUGCCAAGUAUCUUGGCGCAUUGUUUUUGUUGUGAAAAAAAAGGGCUUUUCAUAAAAGACGCAAUAUGUGUCCGCAUUUCACUAAUGAGAAAAAUAGAGAGCCUAAGCGGUCUGCGAUGCGGUAACCCACGCAUGUGCUGCUCGGACUGCGCGAAGAAACCCACCACUUUCACUGAGGUGAAACAGAAUGAAAUGCCUUGCUAGUAUGAAUUUUUUUGUCUUGCCGCAUGCUCGUGCAUGACAAUCAUUUCUUUAGCUCUAUUGAACGCAGCUUUCGUGAAUUGAGAUGUCACCUUAACUUGAAUGCUUCAUUUUUCUUAUAUGCUUGCACCUCUUUAAUAAUAUGUACUAUAUACAUAUAUAUCUUUUUUUUCGUAUCGUCGUUGAAG
rnacentral:misc_RNA from 1 species